GGAGUGUGGAGUUUCUAUUUUCUAAGAUGGGGCAGUCUGUGGGAAGAGCCAGGUUGGGGGAUGGGGAAGAGUUAGUUUUGGAUGUGGUAAGUGAGAGGUGUUUAUUAGGUGUCCAAGCAGAGAUGCUGAAUAAACAGCCAAAUAUAUGCUUUUGGAGUUUGGAGAAGGGCUUCAUCCUGGAUAUACACAGUAUAUAUUUGAGAAUCAUCAGUGUAUAGAUGGUAUUUACAGCCACAGAAUUGAAGAGAUCCCCAAGGGAGUGGGUAUAGAUGAAGAAGACAAGAUUCGAAGAGUCUAGCAAAGGACACUGAGAAGGAGCCACUGAUGAGAAAGAAGGGUAACGGAGAAUGUGGUCCCCAGAGGCCGAGGCAAGAAAGUGUUUCUAGGAGGAGGGAUUGGUUGAUUUGUCACUGAUGGGUCAGGUGAGAUAAGGACAGAGGAUUGACCUUGGGUUUAGCCUUCAAUGUUGAGGUCAUUGAUGUGAAAGCAGCCGUGAUAGAAUAGCCAGGUGGAGAGAGAAUGGAAAGAGCAUUUGCAGGUGGACACAUCUACAACUGUCUUGAGGACUUUUAUUUUACUGGCAGUGAGAAAA
rnacentral:lncRNA from 1 species